rnacentral:lncRNA from 1 species
CCAUAGAACAAGCUGAUCCUCUUUUGGCAUCAGAGAUACACACAUCUCCACAACUAUACACACAGUGAAAUGAACACUGAUAGAAUACCCAGGAUCGUCCCACCAUCAGAUCUGUGUUGCCACACACCAUGUGUUCCACCUGUAGACCAGAAGCUGCACUUAUCCCAGGAGAGCCAUGAACAGAGCACAAUGUGUUUGUAGGUAAUCAAAAGGUUGGACUUUCCUGAUUUAAAGCUAAGAGGACCUCACAUGAAUUUGGCAAUGUGAUGCCACAGUAGUCUUAAGAUGCAGAAAAACAGCACUGGGGAGACAGCUCAAUCAAUAAAGUGCUCUCCACUCCAAGUGUGAGAGCCGGAGUUCCACCAACACCUGUGUAAAAGCUGGAUGAAACAUGAUUCUCUGUACAUAUGUGCAAGCACACCCACACACAUGAACACAUAUCUGUAG